GGUUAAGCGACUAAGCGUACACGGUGGAUGCCCUGGCAGUCAGAGGCGAUGAAGGACGUGCUAAUCUGCGAAAAGCGCCGGCGAGGUGAUAUGAACCCUUGACCCGGCGAUGUCCGAAUGGGGAAACCCAGUGUGAUUCGUCACACUAUCGUUAACUGAAUACAUAGGUUAACGAGGCGAACCGGGGGAACUGAAACAUCUAAGUACCCCGAGGAAAAGAAAUCAACCGAGAUUCCCCCAGUAGCGGCGAGCGAACGGGGAGCAGCCCAGAGUCUGAAUCAGCUUGUGUGUUAGUGGAAGCGUCUGGAAAGUCGCACGGUACAGGGUGAUAGUCCCGUACACGAAAGCACACAGGCUGUGAACUCGAAGAGUAGGGCGGGACACGUGGUAUCCUGUCUGAAUAUGGGGGGACCAUCCUCCAAGGCUAAAUACUCCUGACUGACCGAUAGUGAACCAGUACCGUGAGGGAAAGGCGAAAAGAACCCCGGCGAGGGGAGUGAAAAAGAACCUGAAACCGUGUACGUACAAGCAGUGGGAGCACCUUCGUGGUGUGACUGCGUACCUUUUGUAUAAUGGGUCAGCGACUUAUAUUCUGUAGCAAGGUUAACCGUAUAGGGGAGCCGAAGGGAAACCGAGUCUUAACUGGGCGUUAAGUUGCAGGGUAUAGACCCGAAACCCGGUGAUCUAGCCAUGGGCAGGUUGAAGGUUGGGUAACACUAACUGGAGGACCGAACCGACUAAUGUUGAAAAAUUAGCGGAUGACCUGUGGCUGGGGGUGAAAGGCCAAUCAAACCGGGAGAUAGCUGGUUCUCCCCGAAAGCUAUUUAGGUAGCGCCUCGUGAACUCAUCUUCGGGGGUAGAGCACUGUUUCGGCUAGGGGGCCAUCCCGGCUUACCAACCCGAUGCAAACUACGAAUACCGAAGAAUGUUAUCACGGGAGACACACGGCGGGUGCUAACGUCCGUCGUGAAGAGGGAAACAACCCAGACCGCCAGCUAAGGUCCCAAAGUCAUGGUUAAGUGGGAAACGAUGUGGGAAGGCCCAGACAGCCAGGAUGUUGGCUUAGAAGCAGCCAUCAUUUAAAGAAAGCGUAAUAGCUCACUGGUCGAGUCGGCCUGCGCGGAAGAUGUAACGGGGCUAAACCAUGCACCGAAGCUGCGGCAGCGACGCUUAUGCGUUGUUGGGUAGGGGAGCGUUCUGUAAGCCGUUGAAGGUGGCCUGUGAGGGUUGCUGGAGGUAUCAGAAGUGCGAAUGCUGACAUAAGUAACGAUAAAGCGGGUGAAAAGCCCGCUCGCCGGAAGACCAAGGGUUCCUGUCCAACGUUAAUCGGGGCAGGGUGAGUCGACCCCUAAGGCGAGGCCGAAAGGCGUAGUCGAUGGGAAACAGGUUAAUAUUCCUGUACUUGGUGUUACUGCGAAGGGGGGACGGAGAAGGCUAUGUUAGCCGGGCGACGGUUGUCCCGGUUUAAGCAUGUAGGCGGAGGUUCCAGGUAAAUCCGGUACCUUUUAACGCUGAGGUGUGAUGACGAGGCACUACGGUGCUGAAGUAACAAAUGCCCUGCUUCCAGGAAAAGCCUCUAAGCAUCAGGUAACACGAAAUCGUACCCCAAACCGACACAGGUGGUCAGGUAGAGAAUACCAAGGCGCUUGAGAGAACUCGGGUGAAGGAACUAGGCAAAAUGGUGCCGUAACUUCGGGAGAAGGCACGCUGAUAUGUAGGUGAAGCCCCUGCGGGUGGAGCUGAAAUCAGUCGAAGAUACCAGCUGGCUGCAACUGUUUAUUAAAAACACAGCACUGUGCAAACACGAAAGUGGACGUAUACGGUGUGACGCCUGCCCGGUGCCGGAAGGUUAAUUGAUGGGGUUAGCGGCAACGCGAAGCUCUUGAUCGAAGCCCCGGUAAACGGCGGCCGUAACUAUAACGGUCCUAAGGUAGCGAAAUUCCUUGUCGGGUAAGUUCCGACCUGCACGAAUGGCGUAAUGAUGGCCAGGCUGUCUCCACCCGAGACUCAGUGAAAUUGAACUCGCUGUGAAGAUGCAGUGUACCCGCGGCAAGACGGAAAGACCCCGUGAACCUUUACUAUAGCUUGACACUGAACACUGGUCCUUGAUGUGUAGGAUAGGUGGGAGGCUUUGAAGCGUGGACGCCAGUCUGCGUGGAGCCGUCCUUGAAAUACCACCCUUUAAUGGCUGGUGUUCUAACGUAGACCCGUAAUCCGGGUUGCGGACAGUGUCUGGUGGGUAGUUUGACUGGGGCGGUCUCCUCCCAAAGAGUAACGGAGGAGCACGAAGGUUAGCUAAUCCUGGUCGGACAUCAGGAGGUUAGUGCAAUGGCAUAAGCUAGCUUGACUGCGAGAGUGACGGCUCGAGCAGGUGCGAAAGCAGGUCAUAGUGAUCCGGUGGUUCUGAAUGGAAGGGCCAUCGCUCAACGGAUAAAAGGUACUCCGGGGAUAACAGGCUGAUACCGCCCAAGAGUUCAUAUCGACGGCGGUGUUUGGCACCUCGAUGUCGGCUCAUCACAUCCUGGGGCUGAAGUAGGUCCCAAGGGUAUGGCUGUUCGCCAUUUAAAGUGGUACGCGAGCUGGGUUUAGAACGUCGUGAGACAGUUCGGUCCCUAUCUGCCGUGGGCGCUGGAGAAUUGAGGGGGGCUGCUCCUAGUACGAGAGGACCGGAGUGGACGCAUCACUGGUGUUCGGGUUGUCAUGCCAAUGGCACUGCCCGGUAGCUAAAUGCGGAAGAGAUAAGUGCUGAAAGCAUCUAAGCACGAAACUUGCCCCGAGAUGAGUUCUCCCUGACUCCUUGAGAGUCCUGAAGGAACGUUGAAGACGACGACGUUGAUAGGUCGGGUGUGUAAGCGCAGCGAUGCGUUGAGCUAACCGAUACUAAUGAACCGUGAGGCUUAACCUUACAACGCCGAAGAUGUUUUG
rnacentral:rRNA from 1 species